rnacentral:rRNA from 1 species
GACGUAGGGCGCGAGCGUUGUCCGGAUUUAUUGGGCGUAAAGAGCUCGUAGGCGGCUUGUUGCGUCGACUGUGAAAACCCGCGGCUUAACCGCGGGCCUGCAGUUGAUACGGGCAGGCUAGAGUUCGGUAGGGGAGAGUGGAAUUCCCGGUGUAGCGGUGAAAUGCGCAGAUAUCGGGAAGAACACCCGUGGCGAAGGCGGCUCUCUGGGACGGUACUGACGCUGAGACGCGAAAGCGUGGGGAGCAAACAGG